AUCACUUCUCGGCCUUUUGGCUAAGAUCAAGUGUAAAAAGCUACCUAUGAGAAAUGCAAUAAUGUGUCAGUGAUCUUUGGAGUGUACUUCUUCUCUAAAUAGUUUUAUAUAUGUAGAAGUAGAAUUUAUGGAACCCCACCCCCACUCCCACCCCGAAUCAACUUGC
rnacentral:snRNA from 1 species